AGAGUUUGAUCAUGGCUCAGGAUGAACGCUAGCGGCAGGCCUAAUACAUGCAAGUCGAACGGGUGUCCUUCGGGGCACCAGUGGCGCACGGGUGCGUAACGCGUAUGCAACCUACCUAUCACUGGGGGGAUAGCCUCCCGAAAGGGAGAUUAAUACCGCAUAACACAGCUUGAGGGCAUCUGAGGGCUGUUAAAGAUUUAUCGGUGGUAGAUGGGCAUGCGUGCCAUUAGCUAGUUGGCGGGGUAACGGCCCACCAAGGCUACGAUGGCUAGGGGUUCUGAGAGGACGGUCCCCCACACUGGCACUGAGAUACGGGCCAGACUCCUACGGGAGGCAGCAGUAGGGAAUAUUGGGCAAUGGGCGGAAGCCUGACCCAGCCAUGCCGCGUGCAGGAUGAAGGCCUUCUGGGUUGUAAACUGCUUUUACAGGGGAAGAAAACACCCAUGCGUGGGGAACUGACGGUACCCUGGGAAUAAGCACCGGCUAACUCCGUGCCAGCAGCCGCGGUAAUACGGAGGGUGCAAGCGUUGUCCGGAUUUAUUGGGUUUAAAGGGUGCGUAGGCGGCCCCUUAAGUCAGCGGUGAAAGCCCGGGGCUCAACCCCGGAACCGCCGUUGAUACUGGGGGGCUUGAGUACAGACGAGGUUGGCGGAAUUGAGGGUGUAGCGGAAAUGCUUAGAUACCCUCAAGAACACCGAUUGCGUAGGCAGCUAACUAGGCUGUAACUGACGCUGAGGCACGAAAGCGUGGGGAGCGAACAGGAUUAGAUACCCUAGUAGUCC
rnacentral:rRNA from 1 species